rnacentral:rRNA from 1 species
GUGCCUUCUUGCGUUAGCGGAUUCGCUCCGCGAAGCGUAGGGAGGUUGCAGAGAAAUGGGGGUUGUGACUGUUUACUAAAAACACAGGACUCUGCUAAGUCGAAAGACGACGUAUAGGGUCUGAUGCCUGCCCGGUGCUGGAAGGUUAAGGAAGCUUGUUCGGAGCAAUCCAAAGCUUGUGACCGAAGCCCCAGUAAACGGCGGCCGUAACUAUAACGGUCCUAAGGUAGCGAAAUUCCUUGUCGGGUAAGUUCCGACCUGCACGAAUGGUCUAAUGAGUUGAACACUGUCCCCUCCGCGAGCCCAGUGAAAUUGUAGUAUCGGUGAAGAUGCCGGUUACCCGCCACGGGACGAAAAGACCCCGUGAACCUUCACUACAACUUUACAUUGAUUUUGAGUAACAGAUGUGUAGCAUAGUUGGGAGACUAUGAAGCCUGUACGCCAGUAUGGGUGGAGUCACCGUUGAAAUACCAACCUUCUGUUACUUAGAGUCUAACCCCUACGGGGGGACAUUGUAUGGUGGGUAGUUUGACUGGGGUGGUCGCCUCCUAAAAAGUAACGGAGGCUCGCAAAGGUGCCCUCAGUACGGUUGGUAAUCGUACGUAGAGCGUAUUAGUAUAAGGGUGCUUGACUGUGAGGCUGACCAGCCGAGCAGGUGCGAAAGCAGGCUAAAGUGAUCCGGUGAUUCUGUAUGGAAGGGUCAUCGCUCAAAGGAUAAAAGGUACUCCGGGGAUAACAGGCUGAUACCGCCCAAGAGUUCAUAUCGACGGCGGUGUUUGGCACCUCGAUGUCGGCUCAUCUCAUCCUGGGGCUGUAGCCGGUCCCAAGGGUAUGGCUGUUCGCCAUUUAAAGAGGUACGUGAGCUGGGUUUAAAACGUCGUGAGACAGUUUGGUCCCUAUCUUCCGUGGGCGCUGCAAGAUUGAGAGAGCCUGCUCCUAGUACGAGAGGACCGGAGUGGACGCACCUCUGGUGUAUCGGUUGUCACGCCAGUGGCAUUGCCGGGUAGCUAAGUGCGGAAGAGAUAACCGCUGAAAGCAUCUAAGCGGGAAACUCGUCUCAAGAUGAGUCUUGCCGGGGCCUAGAGCCCCCUGAAGGGUCGUUCGAGACCAGGACGUUGAUAGGCUGGGUGUGGAAGUGCAGUAAUGCAUUAAGCUAACCAGUACUAAUUGCUCGUGAGGCGGACCACC